AGUAAAUGGCAUCGUGUGAACGACAUGGCGAUAAAAAGUUGGACUACAAAGGAUAAAGGGAGUCCUCAUGCUGGACUUGCAUGCCGCAGAUACAUAGACUUGUAUAUAGACCACUGUAUAUACGGGAAGAAGCAGUUUAAUUUCAACCAGCCGAGUCUCUCGCACUUGCAGAGUGGACACAGCAAACAAAUGGAGGAAUGAAAGAAUGAGUUGAGAAAAAAUAAAUAUUAAAAGUGAGUGAAGUGCCUUGGAGGGCCUACGCAGUUUUCAACUCGUACUCUGGGGGAUACACCAAUGAUGGAGAAUUUUGCUACGAGCACCGGAGUCAUCACGUGGUGCUGUGUCUAGGCGCUUCCUCUUCAGUCGAGGACUUUCCGAGUGGAUCCACCACUCAUCAUUGCACAAUCAGACGUCUUUCGUGGACUUGUGAGGACCACCAGUCCAGUCAUUAAUCGUCAAGAACGUUCGUUAGUUUUCUGGAAUUUUUUAUGCACUUUUGGUAUUUAUUGUGUCUCGUUAUGUUAAUUUAAUUGGAAGGUUAAAUUAAAAGUCAUUCUAAGAAAUCAGGAAAUUACUGGCAUACA